AAAACAUUUUACAGUUAUAAUAUAUAGGCUAUCAUUGUCCAUCAUUUUUUUUUUUUUUAAAUUACAAUUACAGAGAAAUUCUUAUGGUCAUAUUUAUUUUGAUUUUACAUAACUUUGUCAUUUUAAACUAUGGUUUCCCUUGUAAACUUUUCUAAGAGUAAUAUUACCUGAGUAUUCAUCAUAUUUGAUUUGAUUUCUGGGAGCAGAUUACACAUACAACUCUACAUGCAACACAAUUAUCAUGGAAUAAUGUCAAGCCUUACAAUACACCACUGCGCAGGUGACAAAAGUUUUUAUUUUUUUAUGAAGUUAAGAUAUGAAUUAUUUUCAGUACAGGUUGCGUCAUAUUUCUUUCUCUGUGCGUGCUCUGCUGUGUUUACUUGUACGCCAACUAACGACCCAACAACUGCAAAAAACAAACAGCAGUACGAUGGCCGACUCCCGCGCGCGGCAGGAAUACCUGACAUUCGUUUGUUCCGUCGCCGUCGCUCCGAGCAACAGAGGCCAAUUACUGCAGCAGCCGCAUGACCUUUAGCAUGCAGAUGAGCCGCGCAGCGCACGCGCUUAUGUGUGUGUGGCCGGUAAAUAUUAACGGGAACGGAAGAGUGGAGCCAUAAUGACGCACAGAUCGUUAGAGACUCGUUAGGGAGCACGAGACGGAGGAUAUUAAAGAGCAGUUAAGAGCAAAACGCACAUACACACCUUUCUACAGGACUGGCACACACACACUUCACCAGUCUAACGUACUCCUAUAAUGCCUGCAUAUAGGCUACCUUUGUCUAACUCACACAUAAACACGUGAGAGUAAUGCAAAGAUCUAUCUAACAGACACACAUAUCUGACAUGCAACAACAUAAUUCAUGUGUCUAACACACACACACACCUGCCUUCUAUGGAUAAAAACACUAAAACUGUCUGACACACAAACACAUUCAUCCUACUAGCACAUAUAGACACUUUACCUGUCUAACACGCACCUCACAAUUUACUUAUCUGACAUAAACAAACUUCCCUGUCUAUCACACACGCUUUAUCUGUCUAAGGCGCACAUAUACCCACAAUUCACCUGUCCAACAUGCAUGCAAACACACACACACUGAGCGUCGCAAGUUCUGAGCGCUGCGCUGCCGGGGUCUUUCAGCACGCUGGCAUUAGUAUUCACAGACAGCGCUUCCCUUCAGUGCCUGAAUUAAUUUUCCACCAUGCGUAUGUGUGUGCGUGUAUCACAUCACAGAAAGUGCGAGACCGCGGCAGAGAGAGAGCGAUAGACAGUGUGUGGUGAUCUCCCCGAAUCUCAAGCCUCUUUUCCUGUUAUUUUAUUGCGAUUUAAAUACUUCACUUGUCUAAUGCAUGUAAUCUGACUAAUCAGUGCAGGAAAUUGCCCACAGUCUGUUUCUAAAGAGGAAACCGUUCUGUUUCGAACCUGCCACAGAGAGAGACAGGCUUCCGACGGAAAGCAGCGUGCACGAAGAACGAAGAUUGAGCGUGUGUGCGCGUGACCGAAGUUGAAUAUCUUUGAUAUAAUGAGCACUGCUAUGCAAGAACUAGUCACUGGAGGCACCAAAGUUUGCGAGGAUGACAGCAUGUCACCCAACCUACCCAUCUGGUUAAUUCUGCCAAGCAAAAGAUGAAACCGCACCAAAAAUACUGCAGAGAUUGAUUCAGUGCACGACUUUUGACAUGAACAACAAGAUAAGAGUGGUGUAUCUAUGGCCUCUAGCAGGGGAUAAGUGGGCCAUGCUAACCAGCUAAUCCCUGACCCCUACAGGUCAGCACAGUGAUGUCAUGAACUGAUUCCAGAUCAGAUGCAACUGGCUGUGGGAAGGACUGACUGCAGGUCAGCGUGGAAAAAUAGGAAGGUUCGGGGGAAUAAACUUAAACUGGUGCAAUCCCACAGACGUCCUGGGUGAGUUUAUUCCCUUAAGCGCAGUGUGGAAAAUUUGCGUGUCAAGCUGUGUUUUCCAGCACAUGAAUCCACACACACACACAGUUUAAUCCUGCGCAGUGGGGAUUGCCGUCUGGAGAUUGUACCGCGUCCAAGACUGAGUCGCCGCUUGCUGACCUUCUCACACACACUUCUAUACAUCCGUUCUAAGGCGGUGUGUGUGCAGCGUACAGCUUUGAUCCCCAGCUGAAGGGUACUUACAGGCCAAAUUUCCAAAUGCGUAAGAGUCAGCCCUCCCACUGGAGAGAGAGCGAGAGAGACAGAAUGAAUUCUUACACGGCUCUGGGAAUUGGGUCUCGGCGGCAGGAGCUAUUAAUAUAUCGCUGCGGCCCCCGAGAGAGAGACGGCGAGGUAGACAGAAAGACAAUCAGAUAAAGCCAGCGAUAGAAAGAGAGAGAAACAGAGAGGAAGAGAAACUGAGAGACAGACAGGUAGUUCAGACAGAGAAAAAGAGUGGUAGAAAGAUAGACAGGCAAAGAGAUACCAAACAGAUAGAGUGAAAGAAUGAUUACAGAAGGAUAGACAGAGACAUAGACACAGAGAGAGAAAGACCUAUACUGUCCACCACAGUGAUCCUUAGUAUGUCUGUGUGUUUCUAUGUAAGUUAAAGAUGUUAUAAUGUGUUACAGUUUAAUACUUCUAAGAUGUUACAAUAUUCCAUUCUAUUACUGUGAUGUUCAUUUAAAUAUUAUUAUUGUUAUAUUAUUAUUUUUAUCUUUUUGUACAUGUAUACUUAGAUGCAAAGAAAGCAAUAGAAAC
ensembl:lncRNA